AACGAACGCUGGCGGCAGGCCUAAAACAUGCAAGUCGAACGAUGUAGCAAUACAUAGUGGCGCACGGGUGCGUAACGCGUGGGAGUAUGCCCUUCACUACGGAACAACGUCGGGAAACUGACGCUAAUACCGUAUAAUGACUCCGGUCCAAAGAUUUAUCGGUGAAGGAUUAGCCCGCGUCUGAUUAGGUAGUUGGUGAGGUAACGGCUCGCCAAGCCGACGAUCAGUAGCUGGUCUGAGAGGAUGAUCAGCCACACUGGAACUGAGACACGGUCCAGACUCCUACGGGAGGCAGCAGUUAGGAAUAUUGGACAAUGGGGGAAACCCUGAUCCAGCCAUGCCGCGUGAGUGAAGAAGGCCUUAGGGUUGUAAAGCUCUUUCGUCUGUGAAGAUAAUGACAGUAGCAGAAGAAGAAGCCCCGGCUAAAUUCGUGCCAGCCGCCGCCGUAA
rnacentral:rRNA from 1 species